GACGAACGCUGGCGGCGUGCUUAACACAUGCAAGUCGAACGCUGAAGCUCAGCUUUUGUUGGGUGGAUGAGUGGCGAACGGGUGAGUAACACGUGAGUAACCUGCCCCCUUCUUUGGGAUAACGCCCGGAAACGGGUGCUAAUACUGGAUAUUCACUGGUCUUCGCAUGGGGGUUGGUGGAAUGGGUUUUUCUGGUGGGGGAUGGGCUCGCGGCCUAUCAGCUUGUUGGUGGGGUGAUGGCCUACCAAGGCUUUGACGGGUAGCCGGCCUGAGAGGGUGACCGGUCACAUUGGGACUGAGAUACGGCCCAGACUCCUACGGGAGGCAGCAGUGGGGAAUAUUGCACAAUGGGCGCAAGCCUGAUGCAGCGACGCCGCGUGAGGGAUGGAGGCCUUCGGGUUGUGAACCUCUUUCGCUCAUGGUCAAGCCGCAACAAUGGUUGUGGUGAGGGUAGUGGGUAAAGAGGCGCCGGCUAACUACGUG
rnacentral:rRNA from 1 species